UGUCGUGGUCAUAUAACGAACAUCCGGAUGCUUGGGCCGCCAUUUUGCAUUUUUCUGUCGACUUCGAUGGGCCACGUGUCGGCUGCCCUCUGCGUCGAACCGUACCCCGCGGUCCUGCUGCUCCUAAUUUCGCGCUAACGGUGGCAGCGCUUGACGAACUCGGGCCAGACUUUGGAACGACUAUGGCUUUGUUGCCUCCUUCUCGGCAAUUCGUCGCGCUCCUUUCCGAACUCCCGGAAUGUGUGCGACGGCCAGCUGGCAUUUCAGCCCUUGGGGCAUCCCGGUUAAGCCGGCGCAGCGUAAAAGUCGGAAGUCGCGCCUGCCGAGUACUCGUUAUUGUGUUUGUGCGCGUUCCCAUUCGUCGGCGACGCCUGGACCAUGAACUGUGGAGGAGCAGCUCUGACCGUGACUGUUAACGGAGGACCUGCGCGGCAACCCUUCACGGCGAGCGUCGUCACGGCGAGCUUCCAGACGUCGAGCGUCGUCAGCGCUCACGAGCUAAGUCCUAUAGAUGGUCCCCAAGCUGGCGAGGGUGGCGCACGCCUUAGCGAAGUUAAUCGUUCAGUUCCACCAGUUAACGCUCGCUAGGAUUCUACAGCUACAUUUGAAAAUUACGUAAAGUUAAAGUUAAUUUUGUUGCUUAACUGUAAGCCCGAGGAGUUUCGUGGGCAUGGCUGCGACCGCAUGGGCCUCCCCCGUGCCGGAAUCGAAGAGGACGGGCCACCGUGUUCGGGGUGGCGGCGUGUGUAGCUUCAGGCUUAGCUGACACACAGCUUAGCUCACACUAGGCAGGCUAGCUGUUAGCGUCCUCUUUUCGACUGCGGCAAGGACAUGGACCCGUUCCGAAUUGCACUGCGACCCGACCACUAUUUCGUGACAAGGUAGCCCGGGCGCGUCAGUGCUAUCGAGCGAAAUGUGGAAUCGGGGGAGCACUCGGAAUUACCUCGCCAGCUUUUAGCUACUAAUCCUGCUUAAUGCAGCCCUCGACGCCGGACGUCGCCUGCGGUCCUCGUCGGAGCUCGGCCGGGCAGCAGCGACAAGCAUCACUCGUUCCGCGGUGUACAGUGUUCCCUCGUCGGUGUGGUCUUGCUGGCAGGCGAGACCAUGGUCACCGCCCUGCACUACUACAGGAUUCCAACGUUUGCUUUUGAGUGCGGCCCACGAGUAGGAAGGAUAUGCAGUGUGCUGCUCCACGUUUGCCAUCCUCCCAACGUCCUCCCACAGGAGAUGGCCUUGAGCACCACUCGUACCGUGGCUGGGCGCGUCGGCUCCAUUGCAUUCUACCACCCAUGGCGUCCUGCUGGCAGACGGGACUUGGUUUGGAGCCCAGCUACUAUACUGAAUCUUGACCUCUGCUUUCGGUGUGCGGCCCACGAGUAGGAUGUCCAUCGUGCUGCUCUACGUUUGCCAUCCUCCCAACGUCCCCAUACAGGAGAUGGCCUUGAGCACCACUUGUACCGUGGCCGACCGCGCUGCUCAUCAUCCUGCUCCACUACGUGAUCCCAACGUCUGCUUUCGAUUGCGGCCUAAGAGCAGGAAGGACAUCAGUGUGCCGCUCCUUGCCAUCCUCCCAAUGUCCCACAGGGGAUGGCCUUGGGCACCACUCGCACCGUGGCAGACCGUGUUUGUUACAUUGCAUUCCCUCACCGAUGGCGUCCUGCAGGCAUACGGGACUUGGUCCUACUACUGAUGUUCGUUUUCGAUGGCGGUGCACCAGGACAUUCCAGACAGUGUUUCCAAAAGAUGAGAUCGCAUUGAGCAGCAAUCGUCCCACGGCUGCUCACCUGAGCACAUCGGCCCAUAACUGUGGACAUCGAAGUCUGAGCGUGGCCACAAACCGAGGACCUGCGGAGCAGCCCCUCGUCACAGCGAGCUUCUUUCAUCGCGACGAGCUUAAAUGCUCAACAAGUAAAAUGGCAGAUGGUCCCCAAGCUGGCGAGGGUGGCGCACGCCUUAGCGAAGUUACCUGUUCCACCAGUUACCUCUCGCUAGGAUUGUAUAGCUACAUUUGAAAAUUACGGAAAGUUAAUUUUGUUGCUUAACUGUAAGCCCGAGAGUUUCGUGGGCAUGGCUGCGACCACAUGGGUCUCCCCCGUGCCGGAAUCGAAGAGGACGGGCCACCGUGUUCGGGGUGGCGGCGUGUGUAGCUUCAGGCUUAGCGGACACACAGUUUAGCUCACACUAGGCAGGCUAGCUGAUAGCGUCCUCUUUUCGACUGCGGCAAGGACAUGGACCCGUUCCGAAUUGCACUGCGACCCGACCACUAUUUCGUGACAAGGUAGCCCGGGCGCGUCAGUGCUAUCGAGCGAAAUGUGGAUUCGGGGAGCACUCGGAAUUACCUCGCCAGCUUUUAGCUACUAAUCCUGCUUAAUGCAGCCCUCGACGCCGGACGUCGUCUGCUGUCCACAUCGGAGCUCGGCCGGGCAGCAGCCACAAGGAUCACUCGUACCGCGGUCUACCGUG
rnacentral:lncRNA from 1 species